GACUUAGGAUUGAGUCCCCUCUCUGCGAGAAAUUAUCACUGGGUUCAAGGAAGACCCAGGCCCAAAUAAAGCUGCUAUGUCUAAGGUCAGCCCCUUUUCCUCAGCUAUUCAAGUUGGCAGUAAUCUAAUAUUAAAGACCAAGCCAAUGUCCCGCUCACCUCUGAAGAAGGGAAAGAUACACAUGAAGCCUGUUGGUUGGCUCGGCAGUAGCAGUCCAUGAAAGGGCUGAAGCAGCUGACCUUUCUCCUUCGGCACUCCUACAAGCCAGGGUAGAUUCUUGAUGUCCAGUACUG